rnacentral:rRNA from 1 species
GAUGAACGCUCGCUACAGGCUUAACACAUGCAAGUCGAGGGGAAACGACAUCGAAAGCUUGCUUUUGAUGGGCGUCGACCGGCGCACGGGUGAGUAACGCGUAUCCAACCUGCCCAUCACUUGGGAAUAACCUUGCGAAAGUAAGACUAAUACCCAAUGAUAUCCCACGAAGGCAUCGGAAUGGGAUUAAAGAUUUAUCGGUGAUGGAUGGGGAUGCGUCUGAUUAGCUUGUUGGCGGGGUAACGGCCCACCAAGGCAACGAUCAGUAGGGGUUCUGAGAGGAAGGGCCCCCACAUUGGAAAUGAGACACGGUCCAAAACUCUAAGGGAGGCAGGAGUGGGGAAUAGUGGGCAAUGGGGGAGGGCCCGAAACCGCCAAGUAGGGGGCAGGAAGACCGGCCUAUGGGUUGUAAACUGCUUUUAUAAGGGAAUAAAGUGGGUCACGUGUGACUUUUUGCAUGUACCUUAUGAAUAAGGACCGGCUAAUUCCGUG